UGCAAAAUAAAAAGCCCUAGCUCUCUCUCACACAGCAGCAGUGCGAAACCCAUUCCUGCAAAUACCAGUACAUGGGGUUUUGUCGUUUAGCUUGAAAUACCCACACAGAACAGGUUUGUCCCUUAAAUUUAUAUCUUGAAUUCUCCAAGCCCUAAAUUUUCAUUUCUAAUUUCAAGAACCUGGGUUAUAUUUUGUUCAAAUUUCACCUUUCCAAUUUCAAAAUAAUAAGUGAGGGGAUGUUCAAUUUCCCUUUUCGCCUGAUUAAAGCUUCUUGGAGUGAUAAAUUUGAAUAUGUAUUCGUUUUGUUUCAGGUUAAAUACAAUGGACUUAAAUGGGAAAAGUUCACCGCAAGAGAAUGUUGAUUCGAAGGGGGCAUUCCGUAAGAUCUCCAAUGAUGCAGCUAACAGGAAAUACAGGCGUCGCUCUCCUGUUGGUGGUGGUUCCUCAUCGUCUGACGGUUAGUUUUUUUAAUUAAAAGAAAUUUUAUGCUAUUAAAAUUAAAAUAAUUAGAAAAAGAAAACAUUAUUCAGACCCUGUUUUGAUUUCCCUAAAUGUUUUACUAAUAGUUUCACUUUGUCACACGCUCUUGUUUCUGUGUAG
rnacentral:lncRNA from 1 species